GAUGAACGCUGGCGGCGUGCCUAAUACAUGCAAGUCGAGCGAACGGACGAGAAGCUUGCUUCUCUGAUGUUAGCGGCGGACGGGUGAGUAACACGUGGAUAACCUACCUAUAAGACUGGGAUAACUUCGGGAAACCGGAGCUAAUACCGGAUAAUAUUUUGAACCGCAUGGUUCAAAAGUGAAAGACGGUCUUGCUGUCACUUAUAGAUGGAUCCGCGCUGCAUUAGCUAGUUGGUAAGGUAACGGCUUACCAAGGCAACGAUGCAUAGCCGACCUGAGAGGGUGAUCGGCCACACUGGAACUGAGACACGGUCCAGACUCCUACGGGAGGCGGCAGUAGGGAAUCUUCCGCAAUGGGCGAAAGCCUGACGGAGCAACGCCGCGUGAGUGAUGAAGGUCUUCGGAUCGUAAAACUCUGUUAUUAGGGAAGAACAUAUGUGUAAGUAACUGUGCACAUCUUGACGGUACCUAAUCAGAAAGCCACGGCUAACUACGUGCCAGCAGCCGCGGUAAUACGUAGGUGGCAAGCGUUAUCCGGAAUUAUUGGGCGUAAAGCGCGCGUAGGCGGCUUUUUAAGUCUGAUGUGAAAGCCCACGGCUCAACCGUGGAGGGUCAUUGGAAACUGGAAAACUUGAGUGCAGAGGAGAAAAGUGGAAUUCCAUGUGUAGCGGUGAAAUGCGCAGAGAUAUGGAGGAACACCAGUGGCGAAGGCGACUUUCUGGUCUGUAACUGACGCUGAUGUGCGAAAGCGUGGGGAUCAAACAGGAUUAGAUACCCUGGUAGUCCACGCCGUAAACGAUGAGUGCUAAGUGUUAGGGGGUUUCCGCCCCUUAGUGCUGCAGCUAACGCAUUAAGCACUCCGCCUGGGGAGUACGACCGCAAGGUUGAAACUCAAAGGAAUUGACGGGGACCCGCACAAGCGGUGGAGCGUGUGGUUUAAUUCGAAGCAACGCGAAGAACCUUACCAAAUCUUGACAUCCUUUGACAACUCUAGAGAUAGAGCUUUCCCCUUCGGGGGACAAAGUGACAGGUGGUGCAUGGUUGUCGUCAGCUCGUGUCGUGAGAUGUUGGGUUAAGUCCCGCAACGAGCGCAACCCUUAAGCUUAGUUGCCAUCAUUAAGUUGGGCACUCUAAGUUGACUGCCGGUGACAAACCGGAGGAAGGUGGGGAUGACGUCAAAUCAUCAUGCCCCUUAUGAUUUGGGCUACACACGUGCUACAAUGGACAAUACAAAGGGCAGCGAAACCGUGAGGUCAAGCAAAUCCCAUAAAGUUGUUCUCAGUUCGGAUUGUAGUCUGCAACUCGACUACAUGAAGCUGGAAUCGCUAGUAAUCGUAGAUCAGCAUGCUACGGUGAAUACGUUCCCGGGUCU
rnacentral:rRNA from 1 species